CGGGCUAACAUCAGAUGAUAUAUAAUCACGACAUCGUGGAAAUAUCAAAUCUUCGGAGCCUUGGGAUGAGCCUGCGUCUGAUUAGGUAGUUGGCGGAGUAAUAGCCCACCAAGCCUACGAUCAGUAGCUGGUCUGAGAGGAUGAUCAGCCACACUGGAACUGAGACACGGUCCAGACUCCUACGGGAGGCAGCAGUAAGGAAUAUUGCUCAAUGGGGGAAACCCUGAAGCAGCAACGCCGCGUGAAGGAUGAAAUACUUUUGUAUGUAAACUUCUGUAAGAUGAGAAAAAUAUUCUCCUCGGGAGAAUUGAUUGUACCAUCAGAGUAAGCCCCGGCUAACUACGUG
rnacentral:rRNA from 1 species